GCGGAUGUGGCGGAAUUGGUAGACGCGCUAGACUUAGGAUCUAGUGCCGCAAGGCGUGGGGGUUCAAGUCCCUUCAUCCGCACCA
rnacentral:tRNA from 1 species